GUGUUCCCUGCUCUCUGUGUCAGUUUGUCUUGGUUCCUCAGUGUCCAGCGUUCGAUCAUUCUCUCCAAGUGAAACUUCUUUUGAAACGUACGAUGCCAAAAUUUUGUUCUGAUGACUGGGCUGACGGUGAAGGCAUUAGAGGACGACUCAGUUUUCUUCACACAUCCAAGGUAACAAGGGAUCUCAGUGACGAUAAACAUGAAAUGCGGCACCGCUGCUCACCGUGUGAGUAUCUGGAUGAUCUAUCGUGAGACUCUGGGAGUCCAUUCAUGGCCUGUCCUCCUUCCACCUUGGCGGUUCUCUGUGGAAAAACAACAUACAGAGAGUCCUGCAGAGGGCAGUGUCUCCCUGCAGCAGAGGCUGAGUUCAGCCGAGGGCUGCUGCUGAAGCUUUGCUGCUGGGUAGCCUUGGACUCAAACAGUGCACAAAGAGCUUUGGUGCCUGAAGAUUCCCUCUGGGGG